ACACUUAACCUGGCAGGGGAGAUACCAUGAUCAGAAGGUGGUUUUCCCAGGGUGAUUUCCAAUUGCACUCCGGAUGUGCUGACCCCUGCAAUUUUCCCAAAUGUGGGAAACUCUACUGCAUAAUUUGUGGUGGGGGGACUAUGUUCUCACUCUCCCCUG
ensembl:snRNA U1 U1 spliceosomal RNA